AGUAGCCAAAAAUGCGGACUGGGUUCAGCGUGGGAUGAUUAAUAACCCUCACAUCUCCGCCGCCAGCUACCCAAGGGUCGAACAAUCCACCCCAAAACAUCGCCUUGGCGACGAGUAGUAAAGCACCCAAACCCAAAAGCAUCAGGUGGAUACCUAAGAUCGUCGUCAUCUUGUCGGUAUCUUUCCA
rnacentral:antisense_RNA from 1 species